AUUGGAGGGCAAGUCUGGUGCCAGCAGCCGCGGUAAUUCCAGCUCCAAUAGCGUAUAUUAAAAUUGUUGCAGUUAAAAAGCUCGUAGUUGAAUUUCUGCUGCAUCCGUGUCAUUCCUAACUGGUUUGUCACUGUUGUGGCUUUUUCUGGUGGUUGUGCUUCGGCUAAAUCUCCAGAUUGUUACUUUGAGAAAAUUAGAGUGCUUCAAGCAGGCUUUUGCCUUGAAUACUUUAGCAUGGAAUAACUAAGUAGGACUUUGGUUCUAUUUUGUUGGUUUAAGAGCCAAAGUAAUGAUUAAUAGGAACAGUUGGGGGCAUUCGUAUUUAACUGUCAGAGGUGAAAUUCUUAGAUUUGUUAAAGACGAACUACUGCGAAAGCAUUUGCCAAGGAUGUUUUCAUUAAUCAAGAACGAAAGUUAGGGGAUCGAAGACGAUCAGAUACCGUCGUAGUCCUAACCAUAAACUA
rnacentral:rRNA from 1 species